AGAGUUUGAUCAUGGCUCAGGACGAACGCUGGCGGCGUGCCUAAUACAUGCAAGUCGAACGAACUCUGGUAUUGAUUGGUGCUUGCAUCAUGAUUUACAUUUGAGUGAGUGGCGAACUGGUGAGUAACGCGUGGGAAACCUGCCCAGAAGCGGGGGAUAACACCUGGAAACAGAUGCUAAUACCGCAUAACAACUUGGACCGCAUGGUCCGAGUUUGAAAGAUGGCUUCGGCUAUCACUUUUGGAUGGUCCCGCGGCGUAUUAGCUAGAUGGUGGGGUAACGGCUCACCAUGGCAAUGAUACGUAGCCGACCUGAGAGGGUAAUCGGCCACAUUGGGACUGAGACACGGCCCAAACUCCUACGGGAGGCAGCAGUAGGGAAUCUUCCACAAUGGACGAAAGUCUGAUGGAGCAACGCCGCGUGAGUGAAGAAGGGUUUCGGCUCGUAAAACUCUGUUGUUAAAGAAGAACAUAUCUGAGAGUAACUGUUCAGGUGUUGACGGUAUUUAACCAGAAAGCCACGGCUAACUACGUGCCAGCAGCCGCGGUAAUACGUAGGUGGCAAGCGUUGUCCGGAUUUAUUGGGCGUAAAGCGAGCGCAGGCGGUUUUUUAAGUCUGAUGUGAAAGCCUUCGGCUCAACCGAAGAAGUGCAUCGGAAACUGGGAAACUUGAGUGCAGAAGAGGACAGUGGAACUCCAUGUGUAGCGGUGAAAUGCGUAGAUAUAUGGAAGAACACCAGUGGCGAAGGCGGCUGUCUGGUCUGUAACUGACGCUGAGGCUCGAAAGUAUGGGUAGCAAACAGGAUUAGAUACCCUGGUAGUCCAUACCGUAAACGAUGAAUGCUAAGUGUUGGAGGGUUUCCGCCCUUCAGUGCUGCAGCUAACGCAUUAAGCAUUCCGCCUGGGGAGUACGGCCGCAAGGCUGAAACUCAAAGGAAUUGACGGGGGCCCGCACAAGCGGUGGAGCAUGUGGUUUAAUUCGAAGCUACGCGAAGAACCUUACCAGGUCUUGACAUACUAUGCAAAUCUAAGAGAUUAGACGUUCCCUUCGGGGACAUGGAUACAGGUGGUGCAUGGUUGUCGUCAGCUCGUGUCGUGAGAUGUUGGGUUAAGUCCCGCAACGAGCGCAACCCUUAUUAUCAGUUGCCAGCAUUAAGUUGGGCACUCUGGUGAGACUGCCGGUGACAAACCGGAGGAAGGUGGGGAUGACGUCAAAUCAUCAUGCCCCUUAUGACCUGGGCUACACACGUGCUACAAUGGAUGGUACAACGAGUUGCGAACUCGCGAGAGUAAGCUAAUCUCUUAAAGCCAUUCUCAGUUCGGAUUGUAGGCUGCAACUCGCCUACAUGAAGUCGGAAUCGCUAGUAAUCGCGGAUCAGCAUGCCGCGGUGAAUACGUUCCCGGGCCUUGUACACACCGCCCGUCACACCAUGAGAGUUUGUAACACCCAAAGUCGGUGGGGUAACCUUUUAGGAACCAGCCGCCUAAGGUGGGACAGAUGAUUAGGGUGAAGUCGUAACAAGGUAGCCGUAGGAGAACCUGCGGUUGGAUCACCUCCUU
rnacentral:rRNA from 1 species